rnacentral:rRNA from 1 species
UAAUACAGAGGGUGCGAGCGUUAAUCGGAAUUACUGGGCGUAAAGGGCGCGUAGGCGGUUUAAUAGGUGUGAUGUGAAAGCCCUGGGCUUAACCUAGGAAGUGCAUCGCAAACGAUUAGACUGGAGUAGAUGAGAGGGUGGCGGAAUUUCCGGUGUAGCGGUGAAAUGCGUAGAGAUCGGAAGGAACGUCGAUGGCGAAGGCAGCCACCUGGCAUCAUACUGACGCUGAGGCGCGAAAGCGUGGGGAGCGAACAGGAUUAGAUACCCUGGUAGUCCACGCUGUAAACGAUGAGGACUAAAUGUUGGUGGGGGAACCCAUCAGUAUUGAAGCUAACGCGAUAAGUCUUCCGCCUGGGAAGUACGGCCGCAAGGUUG